UAAGCCUGAGCAAUGUAAGGCUGUGACACUAAGCUGUAGGGAACAUAUGGCCAUAUCUCAGCCUUCUUCCCUGUGGACUUUGCCUUCUUCAGUACCUUGCUUGCGUCAACAUACCCUGUAACUGUCACCUUCUGCUGCUUCCUGUUUAUCUCCACAGAUUUCACCCCACUGAGUGAAGAGAGGGCAUUCUUGACCUUAAGUUCACAGCCAUCACAGUCCAUUCUG
rnacentral:misc_RNA from 1 species